rnacentral:lncRNA from 1 species
AGGUCAAAGAUGGCUUGACAACUGUCACUACUCUUUAGUGAGCUAACUUGGGAUAAAUGCAAUAAGAUGAUGCUGAUUUAUUACUUUCUGUCGAUCUUCUUCGUACAAGUUGUUUAAGACUGUGGGCGACUUCUCUUAGCAUUCAAGUUGCGAUGUCUUUUAAAAGAAUAAGCAUCUUUCCAGUCAUGUAGUAGAAUAUGUCCGAGACCAGGCCAGGCCGAAUCGAGCCACCACUUGGGAUGGGAAUGGCUCAGCCCACAUGCAUCAUUUGACGAAAGCACUUACAGUUCUUUGGCGCACCUAAUGCGGAUCAUAGUGACAGUUCUCACCACACUUUUUACUACCAUGACUUCUUACUGCUCUUGCAAUAUUUAUUUUUAGGCUUAUCUUAUCCGAGGGCUGUUGUUCUGGAGCAGAAAAUGAUAGUUUUUUACUGCUGAUCUCGCAUCGAGACCCUAAAUAAGCUCUUGGAUCAGGGA